rnacentral:rRNA from 1 species
GAGUUUGAUCGUGGCUCAGGAUGAACGCUGGCGGCGUGCCUAAUACAUGCAAGUCGAGCGAACGGACGAGAAGCUUGCUUCUCUGAUGUUAGCGGCGGACGGGUGAGUAACACGUGGAUAACCUACCUAUAAGACUGGGAUAACUUCGGGAAACCGGAGCUAAUACCGGAUGAUAUUUUGAACCGCAUGGUUCAAAAGUGAAAGACGGUCUUGCUGUCACUUAUAGAUGGAUCCGCGCUGCAUUAGCUAGUUGGUAAGGUAACGGCUUACCAAGGCAACGAUGCAUAGCCGACCUGAGAGGGUGAUCGGCCACACUGGAACUGAGACACGGUCCAGACUCCUACGGGAGGCAGCAGUAGGGAAUCUUCCGCAAUGGGCGAAAGCCUGACGGAGCAACGCCGCGUGAGUGAUGAAGGUCUUCGGGUCGUAAAACUCUGUUAUUAGGGAAGACAUAUGUGUAAGUAACUGUGCACAUCUUGACGGUACCUAAUCAG